AGAGGCCAGUGUUGAUCAGUGACUGUCCAGGACUUUCAGAGACACUGACACGCCGGCAGCACGAUGAUGAUGUCACUGAUUCUACUGCUGGCCACCCUGAGGCUCCUUGUUCAGGGUUCAUCAGGAGAAAUCAUCCUGACUCAGUCUCCUGGAUCUCAGUCUGUUGCGCCAGGACAGUCUGUCUCUAUCAGAUGUAAAGCCAGUUCAAGUGUUACCAAUGACUUACAGUGGUACCUUCAGAAACCUGGAGAAUCUCCCAACCUCUUGAUUUAUAAUGCUCAAACCCUUCAGUCUGGAGUUUCAGAUCAUUUCAGUGGGACUCAGUCUGGAACUGACUUCACUCUGACCAUCAGUGGAGUUCAGACUGAAGAUGCAGGAGAUUAUUAUUGUCAGCAGGAUUACAGCCGCCCGUUCACACAGUGAUACAACGUAGUACAAAAAC